rnacentral:rRNA from 1 species
AUUGAACGCUGGCGGCAGGCCUAACACAUGCAAGUCGAGCGGAUGAAGGGAGCUUGCUCCUGGAUUCAGCGGCGGACGGGUGAGUAAUGCCUAGGAAUCUGCCUGGUAGUGGGGGAUAACGUCCGGAAACGGGCGCUAAUACCGCAUACGUCCUGAGGGAGAAAGUGGGGGAUCUUCGGACCUCACGCUAUCAGAUGAGCCUAGGUGGGAUUAGCUAGUUGGUGGGGUAAAGGCCUACCAAGGCGACGAUCCGUAACUGGUCUGAGAGGAUGAUCAGUCACACUGGAGCUGAGACACGGUCCAGACUCCUACGGGAGGCAGCAGUGGGGAAUAUUGGACAAUGGGCGAAAGCCUGAUCCAGCCAUGGCGCGUGUGUGAAGAAGGUCUUCGGAUUGUAAAGCACUUUAAGUUGGGAGGAAGGGCAGUAAGUUAAUACCUUGCUGUUUUGACGUUACCAACAGAAUAAGCACCGGCUAACUUCGU